rnacentral:rRNA from 1 species
GAUCAGGCCAGUAAGGGCACACGGUGGAUGACUUGGCGUCAAGAGGCGAUGAAGGACGUGGCAACCUGCGAAAAGUCCAGGGGAGUUGGAAGCGAACUGUGAUCCUGGAAUGUCCGAAUGGGGAAACCCACCUCGCAAGAGGUAUCACGCACUGAAUGCAUAGGUGCGCGAAGCGAACCCGGGGAACUGAAACAUCUCAGUACCCGGAGGAAAGGAAAGCAACAGCGACUCCGUGAGUAGCGGCGAGCGAAAGCGGAUAGUCGAUAGCAUGACGAGCGCGUUGGAAUGCGCGGCCGAAGAAGGUGAAAGCCCUGUAAUCAUGUGAUUCGACACAGCCCUAGAGUAGGCUCGGGCUCGUGGAACCCGGGUUGAAGAUGGGGGGUCCACCCUCCAAGGCUAAGUACUACUUGACGACCGAUAGCGAAACAGUAAAGUGAUUGAAAGUUGAAAAGCACCGCCAUGAGCGGGGUGAAAGAGUACCUGAAACCGUGUGCUUACAAGCGGUCGGAGCCCUUCGGGGUGACGGCGUGCUUUUUGCAUAAUGAGCCCGCGAGUUAGUCUCUGUGGCGAGCCUAAGGCCUACCGGGCCGGAGGCGGAGCGAAAGCGAGUCUGAACAGGGCGUUCAGUCGCAGGGACUAGACACGAAACCUAUGUGAUCUACCCAUGGCCAGUGUGAAGGAGGGGUAAAACCCUCUGGAGGCAUGAACUCGUUGUCGUUGAAAAGACAUGAGAUGAGCUGUGGGGAGGAGUUAAAGUCUAAUCAAACUGGGAGAUAGCUUGUUCUCGCCGAAAUAACUUUAGGGUUAGCCUCAGGGUGCAACCGUCGGGGGUAGAGCGACUGGAUGGAUGGUGGGCCCUACCCGGGUACCCCGUCCAACCAAACUCCGAAUACCGAUGGCCGAGUCCUGGGAGAUAGACUGCGAGUGAUAAUAUCCGUAGUCAAAAGGAGAAUAAUCCAGACCGCCAGCUAAGGUCCCCAAUCUUGGCUCAGUUCGAAAGGAAGUCAGAUUGCCAUGACAACCAGGAUGUUGGCUUAGAAGCAGCCAUCAUUUAAAGAGUGCGUAAUAGCUCACUGGUCGAGGAGUCUGGCGCCGAUAAUGAUCGGGAAUAAGCCAAGAACCGAAGCUGCGGACGCGAAAGCGUGGUAGGCGAGCGUUCCACGGGCGGUGAAGAUUGUCCGUAAGGGCAGUUGGAGCGCGUGGAAGUGAAUAUGCGGGCUUGAGUAACGAUAAACAGGGUGAGAAUCCCUGUCGCCGUAAGUCCAAGGUUUCCUGGGGAAGGUAAAUCCGCCCAGGGUUAGUCGGGUCCUAAGGCGAGGCCGAAAGGCGUAGUCGAUGGCCAGCAGGUUAAUAUUCCUGCACACCCAUGGUGAUCAAAGCACGAUGCGGAUUCUUUAAGUCAGCGAAAGCAACAAGUUGCGAGGUCUAGGCCGAUGCUGAUGGCGGGAGUUCCCAGAAAAGUCGUGUGGGCAAAGUGGGUCCCGUACCAAAACUGACACAGGUGGACGAGGCGAAUAGCCUCAGGCGCUCGAGAGAACGGUCGUGAAGGAACUAGGCAAAAUCACCCCGUACGUUCGCAAGAAGGGGGCCCUUUGGGGCGCAGAGAAAAGGCUCUGGGAACUGUUUAUCAAAAACACAGCACUGUGCUAACUCGGAAGAGGAUGUAUACAGUGUGACGCUUGCCCAAUGCCGGAAUGUCACGGAACCGGGUCAGCUUCGGCGAAGCUCGGAACCCAAGCACCGGUCAAUGGCGGCCGUAACUAUGACGGUCCUAAGGUAGCGAAGUUCCUUGUCGGGUAAGUUCCGACGCGCAUGAAUAGCGUAAUCACCGGAGCACUGUCUCCACGACCGACUCGGUGAAAUAGUAGUGGCGGUGAAGAUGCCGCCUACCCGCAGCAAGACGGAAAGACCCCGUGGACCUUUACUGCAGGCUUCUAUUGGUCACGAGCACAUGAUGCGUAGCAUAGGUGGGAGGCUUUGAAGCGGAGGUUUAGGCCUUCGUGGAGCCACAGGUGAAAUACCACCCUUCGUGAGUUUGUGGCCUAACCUUGAUUCCCGUGAAACCGGGCAGGGGACAGUGGGUGCUGGGUAGUUUGACUGGGGCGGUCUCCUCCGAAAGAGUAACGGAGGAGUGCAAAGGUCGGCUCAGCGCGGAUGGAAACCGCGUUGUAGAGUGUAAAGGCAUAAGCCGGCUUUACUGCGAGUCCGACGGGACGAGCAGUUACGAAAGUAGGCCUUAGUGAUCCUGCGCUCCCGUGUGGAAGGGGCGUAGCUCAACGGAUAAAAGGUACCCCGGGGAUAACAGGCUUAUCGCUCCCGAGCGUCCAUAGCGGCGGAGCGGUUUGGCACCUCGAUGUCGGCUCAUCGCAUCCUGGGGCUGAAGGCGGUCCCAAGGGUUAGGCUGUUCGCCUAUUAAAGCGGUACGCGAGCUGGGUUCAGACCGGCGUGAGCCAGGUCGGUCCCUAUCUGUUGUGGGCGCGCCAGACUUGAAAGGAGUCAACCCUAGUACGAGAGGACUGGGUUGGACCAACCCCUGGUGAUCCUGUUGCGCCGCUCGGUGCAUCGCAGGGUAGCUACGUUGGGCAGGGAUAACCGCUGAAAGCAUCUAAGCGGGAAGCCCCCCUUGAGAUGAGGUCUGGUUGUCUUUUGACGAAAGACCCCCGGUAGACCACCGGGUUGAUAGGCCGCACGUGCAAGGGCUGAGAGGCCUUCAGCGGAGCGGUACUAACGGUCGAAGGUCUGAUCAC